UGGCACAGAGAAAACAGCCUCAGAGGAAGUAAAGUUAGGAGCAACCAACAAGCGUGAAUAAGAAGAGACGAGCAAGAAACCAGAGGAGCAAGAAGAGAUUAAGAGGACAGGAGAUUUAAUGUUAUGUGUCCUCUCACUUUUGCUCGACUCCACAUGCAGAGUAUCAUCCGUACCUGAGGAAUUAUCCCUCUAGCCUUAAUCUCUACCUGCUUAUCUCCGGCUGCUCUGGGUUUCAACAACAAACUAACACGCUGACAAAUUCAACACUCAGCAGUCAGUCUGGGCUGGGCUGAGCGUGUGAAAACAACUCUCUCGGGAUGGAUGCCAGAGAGGAGACGCUGAGCAUCCUGAAUAAAAUAUGGGUAAAGCUGCAAGGUCUGCCCAACGCCACCCCGAUAGAGCUGGGAGCUUUCUUUGUCAUCUUAACCUUCAUCUUGGUUUUCAUCUUAAUGGCAGCGCUGACCUGCGUGACCUGCUGCUGCUGUCGCAAAACCAAGACCAGGGGAUCUAUUCUUUGAGCAAUUGUGCUCCACACAAAGAACUGAGGAUGGUGCAAAAUGGGCUCAAAACACAACAACAGGUUUUCUCUACGGCCUGCGAAAGCCUUAAGAAUCCCUAAGAAUUAAAUAUAACUCUGACUGAGAGUCAUGUUCAUAUAAUUAAUAGGCAUUCAAAACAUUUCAGAGAGCAAUAUACAGGGUGUGUUUAGUGGCCUUAGAGAAGCCCAACCCUACAACACAGCUGUGAAACACAGAGGAGGACCAAACACACCUGCUAAGGCUGCCAGCAUUUCAGGAGAAUCUACAUUCCUGGGAGCAUCCCUGGGCUUUAAAGGGGAACAACAAUGCUUCUGAAGCCAAGAACACCAAAAUAUCUUAAACAAUGCAGGCAAAUACGAGAAUAAGAGCUACAGAAAAUGUGUGAAACGAUUAAAAAUCACAGUGAGUUGCAGCCAAAUGUGUUUCUCUAAAGGUAAAUAUGUGUCAUUGUUAAGAAAUGAGAAUUGGCAGGCAGAAAUAAGUAACAUGUUCCUAAGGGAGGCUUCACAACAAAGCGAGAUCAAGUCUGCCCUCUGCUGUGCACAAACAGAAAUGUCUAUUUUGAAAAGCACAGCAUGCAUGUAAUGGAAGUUGUGUCAUGUUAUGUUAUGUGCAAAGGGUGAAGCCGUUAUGUAAUGAUGUUGUACUUUUUACUACAUUUUCUUUAGCAAUAAACGAAGAGUGACUAGCAUGCACGUGUCUGAAUGCUUUACUCACGCUUCCUGAACACAGUACGCCACCAUGGCAUCAAAGUCUGUGAUGGUUGCUUUGUCAGUCUCCUUCAGAGAGCCACGUUUCCCCUGUAGAAAAAAGUUUAACCAAUGUUCACAAACUUGAUUUGCAUAGGAGCUCUUCACAUUUUGAGUUCUCUCUUGUUGUUCUCACCUGUUUGCGGGAAAUCUCUUUGCGGAUGAGGAAGUUCAGUUGCUCCUUAUCUUUGGCGGAGUAGUAUAUGCGACAGGAGGAGGGCAGGCCGUCUCUCCCGGCUCUUCCUGACUCUUGGUAGUAGCUGGCCAGGGACUUUGCCAAGUUCCAGUGAGCCACAAACCUGCAGGAUAAACAAAACAUCAGCACAUGCAAAUGUAAACAAAAUUGAACAUCAAAUCCUUGUUGCUAACAGGAGGACACUGGGAUUCAUAAUGGAAUGAUUAUAAAGGCUGCAUAAAAAAAGGAACUGGACUGUGUGACAUCCCAAAAUAAUAUGAUAUGGCUUCUUUAAAAUUAGGAAUUUUUGAAAUAUUCUGGUAUAUGGACAUUUUUCCUAAGUAUAUUGGACUGUAUUAUUGUAAUAUGUAGGAUGACCUUAUAUAUAACCCAUCUUUUAUUUAAUGUUUGUUAUAUCUGUGUUAUUUACGUUCUCAGAUUUGAUUUCUUUACGUUUUGUUUUUCAUAUUCUCAUGUUGAAUUUCUUGGAUUUGAGACCUUCUACAUGUUUUGACCCCUUGUUAAAUAAACUGUUCAUCUAAAUUGAAGUACUAAUGGAUGCAAAGGGGAAUGUGAGAAAAUAACUAAUAAAGAAUACGUUAAAAAAAA